rnacentral:rRNA from 1 species
CCUACGGGUGGCAGCAGUGAGGAAUAUUGGUCAAUGGGAGAGAUCCUGAACCAGCCAAGCCGCGUGAGGGCAGACGGCCCUAUGGGUUGUAAACUUCUUUUGACAGGGAAGAGCAGAAGACGGUACCUGUCGAAUAAGCCACGGCUAACUACGUGCCAGCAGCCGCGUUAAUACGUAGGUGGCAAGCGUUGUACGGAUUUACUGGGUGUAAAGGGUAUGUAGCCGGGCUGACAAGUCAGAUGUGAAAUCCGGGGGCUCAACCCCCGAACUGCAUUUGAAACUGUUGGUCUUGAGUAUCGGAGAGGCAGGCGGAAUUCCUAGUGUAGCGGUGAAAUGCGUAGAUAUUAGGAGGAACACCAGUGGCGAAGGCGGCCUGCUGGACGACAACUGACGGUGAGGCGCGAAAGCGUGGGGAGCAAACAGGAUUAGAUACCCCAGUAGUC